rnacentral:rRNA from 1 species
UACGUAGGGGGCAAGCGUUAUCCGGAUUUACUGGGUGUAAAGGGAGCGUAGACGGCACUGCAAGUCUGGAGUGAAAGCCCGAGGCCCAACCACGGGACUGCUCUGGAAACUGCGGGGCUGGAGUGCAGGAGGGGUAAGCGGAAUUCCUAGUGUAGCGGUGAAAUGCGUAGAUAUUAGGAGGAACACCGGUGGCGAAGGCGGCUUACUGGACUGUAACUGACGUUGAGGCUCGAAGGCGUGGGGAGCAAACA